GAUGAAGAACGUAGCGAAAUGCGAUAAGUAAUGUGAAUUGCAGAAUUCAGUGAAUCAUCGAAUCUUUGAACGCACAUUGCGCCCGCCAGUAUCCUGGCGGGCAUGCCUGUUCGAGCGUCAUUUCAACCAUCAAGCCCCCGGGCUUGUGUUGGGGACCUGCGGCUGCCGCAGGCCCUGAAAAGCAGUGGCGGGCUCGCUGUCACACCGAGCGUAGUAGAUUUUAUCUCGCUCAGGGCGUGCUGCGGGUUCCGGCCGUUAAACCACCUUCAUAACCCAAGGUUGACCUCGGAUCAGGUAGGAAGACCCGCUGAACUUAAGCAUAUCAAUAAGCGGAGGA
rnacentral:misc_RNA from 1 species